UCCAAAAGCUGAAAAAUCUAACUUAUUUUGAUUUUGUUGGAGUAGACCGUCGUGCCACUUCAAAAUUCUGAAUGCGUCUCAGAAGGUAUCGCUGAUCAAAUAAAGUUCGGAAUGCGAAGACGGCUUUCGUGUAUCAGUUUGACGUUCGGCCAGUCCAACCCUUUGGACACAUCUCCAUUAUCAUUCACGAUCUCCGCCGGCUCACAAAGCGAACUCUCACCAUCCACGGUUUCCGCUGACUUAUAGAGUAAAUUCUCACCAUCCAUAGGUACUGCUGGUCCCAUGAGUGUAUCUACUUAGAAUUGAACUCCCGAUACUCCUUACAUGUUGAUACCUUUCCACCGCGCCAGGCCCAUGGGGACGGUAUGGGAUGCCUAUUUGAAGCAUAAUCCUUAUGAUAAAUGGAGGUUUGAAGGAUUAUGAAUUGCUAAAUUAAAUUUUUAGUUGAGUGUACUUGUAGUAAGGAUUAUUUUUAUGCUAAGACAUAUCUAAGUAUGAAUAGAAUAGUAUUUAUUAUUGAAUUGUGGUUGCGCAAUAUUUAUCAUAUGUGACUUGACUGAUAUAUCAUAUACAUAUAUAAUAU